AUGACAGGCCAUUGAAAAAGCAUUUAAUUAUAUUAUCCAUACAUGCUGGUGUGCUAUGAGCUGAUGGGCAUGUGCCCACUUCUUGCUUAGAUUUUCUCUAAUUUCGACUAAAAUCACACCCCAUCAGAGUACCAUGCCAGGGGAUUUAGACACUGUGUACAAUGAAGAACCAAUUCAAUUCUACUUUAAAUCUGGGGCCAUUCAAUUUCCCUCAGAGGCACAAUAUUUUCGCUGGACACUGUAUAUUUUAACCUGAAUUUCUUCAGUAUUUGCUCCCAUGUAUAUGUUGGGCAUAAUGCUAACACCUCCCUGAUGUAUAGUGGGGUUUUUUUUCAAUACGCACUCUGCUACACUCACAAAGUAUAAUGAAAUAUUCCAUUCAUUUGAUUUCUAGCAUAUGUAUAUAAAACUUAUACGGUACCAAUUUUGAUGCACCAGAUGCGCAUUUCGACAAAUAAUGUCUCUUCAGUGAUGCUCAACCGAAAUGUUUGAAAUCCGAAAUAACUAUGUAUGUAAUCCCUUACCAAAUAGCACUUCAAAUAUAGGACAUAUCUAUCUUUAAAUAAAUAUGAUCAGUACUUUCGUGCGAAACUGUCCCUUACUAUCAUGAAGCUUAUAUUCUGCUUUAAAACACAAACCAAUAAUUCUUAAUUGUAUUUUUUUCAUCUUUAAAAAGGUUAUUGACAUCCCAAUAUUUAGUGGGAAGCUUCCGGGUAUCUUCCACUAGUGACAGUCUACUGGCAAAUCCAGACAUGCAUUGGAAGCAUGUUGAUGUGGAGGACACAGGGACACCUGAUCCAAGAACUGUGGCAUUUCAUUCGGAGUGACAACCUGGCAUGCAGUUGAAGAUUUGGUUUUCUCCAUCUGUGUUGCCACUAACCAUUGUGCUGUGAUGGUCAUAGCUAGGGGGAAGGAUUGUCAUAUGCUUCCCAAGGAAGUACGAAGCCUCUCACUGAAGAGGAACUGUACAGAUUUUUGGGCAUUAUCUUAUACAUGUCUGCUGAGAAGUUCCAGUUGAUAGACAGAUAUUGGUCAACGCAUGCCCCUAUCAGAACAACCUAGUAUCAAAAAUUAUGUCUCGAAAUAUGUUUUAAGAGGUUGAAUAUAAGAAGAACAAUUUUUAUUAAAUAUAAUGCAAGUACAUUUAAAUUUAGUGAUUGAAAGUAAGUACUUGAACAUUCGUAUACAUGAACAAUGACCUUGGGGAGGAAAAACGGGCGUUAUUUUCGCAUAGCAUUUGAUAUCAUAAUGGUGUUGUUGCUUAGCAACCAAAUAUAUUUGAAUAUUUAAAAAAUUAUUUUUUUAGAUUUUAACAGGAAAUAUCUUUCUUUUAAUGUUGCAAUAUUUAUACUAUUUAGUGGGACACAAUGGCAAAACGUCAUAUUAUUAGAAAAUGAUGAAUAUGUAUAUGAAGUACGAAAUUUUCAUUUUAUGACCUUUGACCUUAAUUCUCUUCAUGAUAGUUUUUGUUAAAAACCUUUUAAAAUGAUUAAAAUCUAGUCACAGAUUAUAUUUUUAAAAUAAUGUGACAUUUACUAAUCAUCAUGCAAUGUAAUUAUGUUUGAAUUGUGUCGAAUGGAUGUAGAAA